UUUAGCAUGAAAUCAUACUUUUAAGUUAACAACAAUUUUUUUGUUGUUGUCGUGUUUUUAUGCUUACUUGUAUGUUAGAGUUACUGGAUCUGUUUGGUUAACUAUAAAAAUGGAAAAUAGAAGGUGUGGCUUGAUUAGAAAAAUUGGAUCUAGAAAAAUCAGAAUGAGUGUUCUGCCAAAUAUGUCAUCAGACCGCCUUUCUUAGGGAUAUUUCUUGUCUUCUUGUUUAUACAUGAAGCGUCUCUGGAGGUCACAGUCGAGGGUGUUGUCGGUGGAUCUGUUGUCCUGCCAUGUUCUGGAAAGGCAGAUCAGGGUACAACUGAAGACAUAAAUGUAUACUGGCGACAUAAUGAAAGCAUGAUUGUGUAUGAUAUAAUUAAAGGUAAAGGGUCAGACGAGGAUCAAGAGUUAGAGUACAAGAACAGAGCUGAAAGUUUUCCUGAAGUUUAUUUGAAAGGAAACUUCUCCAUCCGGCUGAACAAUCUUCGAGAGACUGAUGCAGGAAAGUACUCCUGUUUAAUCACUAAAGAGUACAAAAAAGAGGAAGUCAAGCUCAUUGUCAAAGGUCAUGCAGUGAUAUCAGAAGACAAAAACAACCAUAAAGAAGAUAAAUUAGAAGACAAAAAAAACCAAGGAGCACAAACGAGACCUGAGAUGAUUGUAAUGUUUUUGCUGCUUAUUUCUAUUCUGAUGUUUAUGUGAGUUAUGACAUAACCUGUAGUAUUUAUACAGCUCAAUUGUGUUUCAAGUUUCAAAAAAAAUUUCAUUGCAGUUUGUCUUUUAUAUAUUACAUAUAUAAACAUAUAUAUACACAUAUGUAUGUAUUGUGUGAGCGAUUCGAACAACUGCACAUUAGCAAGCACUUAAAAACUAUAUGCACUCUAUAGCACCACUCCAGCAUAAUGGUGUUUCUUUAAAAAAUGUUACAUGUGUUUAGCUUUUCUCUUUUACAGUGAGCAUAAAUGUAUUAGUUUAAGAGGCUUUUUAACAUCCAGCCAUUGGUCUAAACUUAAGUCAUAGUCUAGAGAGAGCAGGCGGUUUAAAAGCAGCAAAAAGUAAGUAAGCUAAAACUGGUGUUUAAAUGUGUUUCUCGCUUCCAGAUUGUUGAAAUGUUUACGUGAUCAUUACGUGUAGCAAUCAAGAAGUACUGAUUUGUCAUUGAGGAUCUGUUGUGCAAAAUUUUCUCCAAGUUGUCAUGUCAGUCAUUACUUUAAUCAUGUAAAAAUAACAUCUCUCGCAACAAACUUAAAAGUGAUAUAGAUUGCAUGUGCAAUGAAGAGAAUCUUUAACUGGAAAAACAUUAUAUGAUCCAAACUGUGAGUUUUGUGAUCCAUUAAACGGUGAGAAUAUUCAUUGUGGAGAUGAGUAGGAACACCUGGCUUGCAGGUAAAUCCAUUUUUUGGUGUGAAAAAAACAAAAUAAUUAAAAACAAGAAGAAGAAUAGCAGAACAAGCAUUGUGGUCAGUGGCCCUAUAGGCCUUGAAUUUGCAAAAUUUGGUGCCGAAAACGAAUUGAGGAACUCUGUGCUAUCCCCUCAACAUCGAGUGGCAUUUUUUUUUUAAACUUUGACUUCAAUUAAUAUUUCAAAUUCAUUUGUAUUGAUGAUUGUAAUUUGAUUAUUAUCAAAAUGAGCUAAGACCCCUAUUGUAUCUGUUAGUUUUCAUCUUAUUAUUAUUAUUAUAUAUUUAUUAUUUUUUAUUAUUAUUAUUAUUAUUAUCAUACUAUAAUGUAUGAAAAUUACUUUCAAAUGUUGUGUUUUUACACACAAAUGGUUAUAACUCUGCAACAAAAAGAGAUUUUUUCACCAGAUUUGAUACGCUGAUACGACCACAGUCUGAGGCUACACAAAAAUUGUAUGCACCACUAGUUGGCCUUAUAAUCGAACAAAACCUUUCAUAUCAAGCAAGCCCUAUGGUCAUACAACUAUAUCUUUGCUAAACUAAAGUGUAUAGUCAUAAAACUAGCUAGAUGUAACACAGUCAUGACCUGAGGUCGCAUGCACAAUUCUGUCAUUGUGCCACCUAGUGGUUUUGAGAUAGAAAAUGGCUAUUUUGGCCUAAAGCUACUGCAACAACACAUUUUAAAUCUUGAGUCAUCAUGGAUUAUUCCUUUCACAGCUUGAAGUAUAAUCAAUAGAGGAUGGUCUAUUUUGACUCAUUUAACUUGUUGUUACAUGUUUUGACCCAUGUUUUGCUACUGCAAACAUCACUCACAUGUGCUUCAGUGCUCUUAUGUUCCAUGAUUGUCAUUAACAGAAGGACGAUUGCAGACAAGAACAUAGAUUAUUUUUGUUGAUUUCUUUUGUGUUUUGUCAUCUAAAAUCAUUAGGUUUACCAAACUCAACUGUAUAUCCUUCUGUGCCCUUUUUGGCUUGACCCUGGUAUCACUGCUUGCAGCUAUAUUUUAUGUGUUAUUUGUGUUAUUUCAGAGAUUUUUUGCCUCAAUAUUCUACAUUAAAUGUAAUGUCUUUUUUUAUUUAAAGGCGCAAAAGAGGAUGUUUCUGCCGACUGAGAAUCCAAAGACCGUUACUGAGUUUUUUAAAUAAGCGCAUGCGUAAGAACAGCCCCCCUCCUUCACAGCUCAUUUCUAGGGAACGCCUUCCAAAACUCGUGCACGAGUAUUUGAACACGAGUGUUUGUUUACCACUGGCAUAUGCUGUGUCGCGUCAGUGGAUUCAUUAUGUGAAAUUAUAUGAUAAUAAACACAUAAGACGUAAAGUUAGAUCAGUUGACGCUACUCCCAUUUCAACUAGCAUGUAGCAGACUGGUCACUGCCUUACAACUACAGUACAAGAACAACGUCAAUAUACCUGAAUAAAGGGCGAUUUAUAGUCGUGCGUAGGUCCUACGGCGUAGCUACGGCGUAGGCUAUCCGUAGCCUGUGCGUAGCUCUGCGUAGCCUGACGCGCACCUCACAAAAUUUCUAACAGCGCGUCGGCUCUACGCGGACCGUAAGCGCUGUGAUUGGUCCACCAGAACCCCUCCCGUCAGGUAAAAAAACUGCGUCAUAGAGGCUGUUUACACUUGGUAUUAACAUGUGUUUUCGUCGAUCGGAUCACAAGUGGACGACGUUAAUGCCAGGUGUAAACGGUGUUCAGAACGUUUUGAGCUCGUCCACUUUCGACCACAUCCAGAGGUGGUCGAAACCACUUUCGAUCGGAUCGCUUUGGAGUUGCGGAACGCACGUGUGGUUGAAUGCGUUCGAACAGCCACACGCGACCGCCUUCUCUCCGCCCAUUUAUCUAAUCUGAGGUAUUAAACACAAGCUUUACGUCUUUUUUUGACUUCUGGCAUGAACAUUCGGUGAACAGCGCUAUUUUUAGCCUUUCAUUGAUAAAACUAAGCGGCUGAUCUCCGUAGUUUCGUUUUGAAAGCGUGUGAAAGUUGCGCGAUCCUAUUUCAUCAAUUGCGCUGAAAAUUCAAAGAAAGCUCUUACAUACUCAUGUACAAAACACUGUGCAGCAUGUUUACUUGCUAAACAAGCAGUGCACUCCGACAUAAUAUUAGUUUGUGUCCAUAUAAACUCAUAAUUACUCCCGCUCGUGUUUGAAUGACAGCAGAGAGACUCGCCCACCGUCUCACAGACCACCCCCUCAUAGUAUUCAGCACAGAAGCGGUCGAAAGUGGACAAAAGAGACGGAUUUAAAUACCAGGUGUAAACGUAAUGUGUCUCUCUCGUCCACUUGUGAUCCGAUCGAUGAAAACACAUCUUAAUACCAAGUGUAAACAGCCCCAUAGGUAUUUCCGUUUGAGACGGUGAAAACAAAGAUGAGCCAAGUUGAGGAGUGAUUUAACUCAAACUGAAACAUAAGUCGCUGUUUAUUUACUUCCAUCAUUGCUGGUCUUCUCAAAUUAUACACAACAAGUUGCUAUUUCUUCUUCGUUUGUGGGUUUACUUGCUUAGCUUCUUCUUCUGUGACGACUUCUGCUGCUACUGUGGUUACACGCGUGAUUACUGCCAACCAGCGGUUUCGCGUGUGUUUGCACGUCGACGCGGACGGCGACGCACAAGUAUAAAUGAAAACCGACGCGGAACCUACGCCGUAGGACCUACGCACGACUAUAAAUCGCCCUUAACAGUACAACAAUAAUUAUUCCACAAAGAAAGAAUAAUCACUGUUACCUGUCAAGGAGAAUUAUUGCGAACUGCGCGUCUGUCUUGACAUCUCUCUGUUCCUUCAUUGCUCUCCAGCGUUGAAUUGUUUCUCCAAUAACGAUUCUGUUUACAUUAAGUUAUUCUGACAAUUUUCUCCUCUUCUCAGCGACUUAAAAAGUAUUUCUUUUACGUCCUCCUUCGGGUUUCUUCUCUACCAUGGUGCAAAUUCAAGGAGGAAAGCAGGAGCGACAAUGAAUACAUACCGAAACUAAAGACGGAGUUUUAUGCGCUAUGCUAUGCGCUCGUGUAAAGUUACUGGAGCGUGCACGUCUCUCACAAGAAACGUAAUGGCAGUGAUUGACAAGCCAGAGGGCCAAUCGUUGACACGAUGAUUGCGUCAACGAUUGGAUGAUGUUUUUAAGGCCCUAUCUUGUGCACAGAUGACGUAUAUUAAUAUUAUGACUUUCAGUGCACCUAAUAAAUAGUCUUUUAUCAUUAUGUAAAGACAGUUUUAAGUAAUAUUGCAAAAAUGUAUAAAACAAACAUCCUCUUUUCCACCUUUGAGCUACUUGCAAUGAAUUCGGGCUACCAAAAACUGAAGAGUGUCUACCAGGGAUCUUUAAAAUUUUGCAAACCAUGUAAUCAGUAUUUUUAUCACUGUUUGCCUGUUACAUAUUAUUUGUGUUAUAUGUUCAUGAAGGUCAAUAGGUGUGUUUAGGCAGUAUUUUGUUUAUAUAUACUCUGUAUUAGUACAAAUAUUUAUACGUAUUAUUAAGACUGCUGUUUCUGUUAUGAUGUUUACAAUUGUUUGGUUUGUUUGACUGUUUAUUUUUAUUUAUUUUCAGACAAAUUAAGAUUAAAAGACUGUGUGACAUUGGUAAAAUCUACAUAAAAGACAUACAGUAAAAUGACAAUUAUAAAUAAAGUACCCAACACACAUUAGUAGCUGUAAUGCAGCUUGUAGUGUUUAUGUUGUUGCCCAUGUUUUAGAAAAUAAAUUUUCACCUGCUUUUAAA